rnacentral:rRNA from 1 species
UGGGCAAUCUGCCCUUCACUCUGGGACAAGCCCUGGAAACGGGGUCUAAUACCGGAUAACACUCUGUCCCGCAUGGGACGGGGUUAAAAGCUCCGGCGGUGAAGGAUGAGCCCGCGGCCUAUCAGCUUGUUGGUGGGGUAAUGGCCUACCAAGGCGACGACGGGUAGCCGGCCUGAGAGGGCGACCGGCCACACUGGGACUGAGACACGGCCCAGACUCCUACGGGAGGCAGCAGUGGGGAAUAUUGCACAAUGGGCGAAAGCCUGAUGCAGCGACGCCGCGUGAGGGAUGACGGCCUUCGGGUUGUAAACCUCUUUCAGCAGGGAAGAAGCGAAAGUGACGGUACCUGCAGAAGAAGCGCCGGCUAACUACGUGCCAGCAGCCGCGGUAAUACGUAGGGCGCAAGCGUUGUCCGGAAUUAUUGGGCGUAAAGAGCUCGUAGGCGGCUUGUCACGUCGGAUGUGAAAGCCCGGGGCUUAACCCCGGGUCUGCAUUCGAUACGGGCUAGCUAGAGUGUGGUAGGGGAGAUCGGAAUUCCUGGUGUAGCGGUGAAAUGCGCAGAUAUCAGGAGGAACACCGGUGGCGAAGGCGGAUCUCUGGGCCAUUACUGACGCUGAGGAGCGAAAGCGUGGGGAGCGAACAGGAUUAGAUACCCUGGUAGUCCACGCCGUAAACGUUGGGAACUAGGUGUUGGCGACAUUCCACGUCGUCGGUGCCGCAGCUAACGCAUUAAGUUCCCCGCCUGGGGAGUACGGCCGCAAGGCUAAAACUCAAAGGAAUUGACGGGGGCCCGCACAAGCAGCGGAGCAUGUGGCUUAAUUCGACGCAACGCGAAGAACCUUACCAAGGCUUGACAUAUACCGGAAAGCAUCAGAGAUGGUGCCCCCCUUGUGGUCGGUAUACAGGUGGUGCAUGGCUGUCGUCAGCUCGUGUCGUGAAAUGUUGGGUUAAGUCCCGCAACGAGCGCAACCCUUGUUCUGUGUUGCCAGCAUGCCCUUCGGGGUGAUGGGGACUCACAGGAGACUGCCGGGGUCAACUCGGAGGAAGGUGGGGACGACGUCAAGUCAUCAUGCCCCUUAUGUCUUGGGCUGCACACGUGCUACAAUGGCCGGUACAAUGAGCUGCGAUGCCGCGAGGCGGAGCGAAUCUCAAAAAGCCGGUCUCAGUUCGGAUUGGGGUCUGCAACUCGACCCCAUGAAGUCGGAGUUGCUAGUAAUCGCAGAUCAGCAUUG